rnacentral:lncRNA from 1 species
GAAAAUCAUUGGCCUUUAUAUAGCCCUCCCUAAAUCCUUUUACAACUGUUUUGCUGUGUGUAUAUCCUAUUAGUGUUGUCUGUGGCUUGCAGAUGUGUGAGCGUUGUGCGAGUGGACGUGCCAGCGAAGAUGUGGGACAGUUUGGGAGGCUGCCGAACGUGGGGCGUGCACGGCACUGGAGGUUGCUGCGACUUGGGGUGGCUACUGCUAAUUGCUGCUUAGGGUUAGGCUAGGGUUAGCACACUUGGGCCUUAUUGGGCCAAAUGCAAUUGGGUCAGGA